CUACGGGGGGCAGCAGCAAGGAAUAUUGGGCAAUGGGCGAAAGCCUGACCCAGCGACACCGCGUGGAGGAAGAAGGCCUUCGGGUUGUAAACUCCUUUUCAGGGAAGAAUAAUGACGGUACCUGGUGAAUAAGUCUCGGCUAACUACGUGCCAGCAGCCGCGGUAAUACGUAGGAGGCGAGCGUUAUCCGGAUUUACUGGGCGGAAAGAGGGCGUAGGCGGCUUUUCAAGUCGGAUGUGAAAUCUCCCGGCUUAACUGGGAGGGUGCAUUCGAUACUGGGAGGCUGGAGUGCAUCAGAGGAAAGCGGAAUUCCCGGUGUAGUGGUGAAAUGCGUAGAUAUCGGGAAGAACACUAGUGGCGAAGGCGGCUUUCUGGGGUGUAACUGACACUGAGGCCCGAAGGCGUGGGGAGCAAACAGGAUUAGAUACCCCGGUAGUC
rnacentral:rRNA from 1 species